rfam:Heterocephalus glaber contig126952, whole genome shotgun sequence.
CAGAGCCCGCCAGUCGCUAAGCCAGGGCCACACCUGGGGGUGACUUCAUGCCUCACCUCCAGUAGGCACCUUGGCCUCUCUGGGCUAAUCUCUGGCUCCCUUGCACUAAUUUUUGCUCUACCCAGCUAAUCCCUGCCUCGCCCUGGCUGCCCCAGGGGGCUGGCCAUUAACAGCCAACCCCACCCAUCUGGGGACUCCAGGCUCCCCGCCUGGCUUUGGCAGGCUCUUAAUUAACCUCUCCUUCCCCUCGACUAACUCCUGUCUUCCUGGUCUGUUCCUUUCAGCAGAAACUAAUGGCUUUUGGAUUUCUUUCUGACUAACAACAGGUGUAACAGUCCUUGUCACUAUUAUUAUUAACAGCUUGGUUGGCAGCAUGGCUGGG